UACUCUCCCCAACCUUGUUUUUACAAUUUUAUUUGUUUCAGUCUUGCUUUGUGCAUCAUUAUUUUGAGGUAAUUGUUCCUUUUCUUCAUGAUUGGUUACAAAGCUCUGUUCUGAGCUUUGUUUUUCAGUAUGUGCCUUUUUUUCUUGAUUAUUGAUGAGUAGUUGGUUUUGAUUCUUAUUAGAGUGAUUGUUUUCAAAAUCCUCUGAGAUAUGUGAUUUUUCUUUUUCAGUUGAGGACUGGUCAGACUGAUUAUUUUCAGUUAUCUCUGACUUGUCCAGAGCAAUCCUGUUUUGAUUUUUCUGAAAUCCAGGAUGUUCUAUAGUUUGUUCUGUGGUUCCUAGAGUGUUCUGUGUUUUGG
rnacentral:lncRNA from 1 species